rnacentral:rRNA from 1 species
AUCAAAUCAAGCGCGAGAAGGGCGUUUGGUGGAUGCCUUGGCAGUAAGAGGCGAUGAAGGACGUGAUACUCUGCGAUAAGCCAUGAGGAGCUGAGAAUAAGCUGUGAUCCAUGGAUUUCCGAAUGGGGCAACCCACCUGACAGUUUGUUAUAAUUGCCUUUUGGCAGUUUAUAACGGGCUGAAACAGGUACUUUUUGACUGAAUACAUAGGUCUUAAAGAGCAAACCCGGAGAACUGAAACAUCUAAGUACCCGGAGGAAAGGACAGCAAUAGCGACUCCCCUAGUAGCGGCGAGCGAACGGGGACCAGCCGAGCCCAAUAAGUGACCAGAAUGCGUUGGGAAGCGCAGCCAUAGCGGGUGACAGCCCCGUAUGGGAAGCUUUGAGGGACGUAUCAAGUAGGGCGGAACACGUGAAAUUCUGUCUGAAGAUCGGAGGACCACCUUCGAAGGCUAAGUACUCCUUACUGACCGAUAGCGAACCAGUACCGUGAGGGAAAGGUGAAAAGCACCCCGACGAGGGGAGUGAAACAGUACCUGAAACCGAACGCCUACAAUCAGUCGGAGGGGCAUAAGCCCUGACGGCGUACCUUUUGUAUAAUGGGUCAUCGACUUGGUCUAUCUAGCAAGCUUAAGCCGUUAGGUGUAGGCGCAGCGAAAGCGAGUCUUAAUAGGGCGUUGAGUUAGAUGGAUCAGACCCGAAACCGAGUGAUCUAGGCAUGACCAGGAUGAAGGUUGGGUAACACCAACUGGAGGUCCGAACCCACACCUGUUGAAAAAGGUCGGGAUGAGUUGUGCCUAGGGGUGAAAGGCCAAUCAAACUCGGAGAUAGCUGGUUCUCUGCGAAAUCUAUUUAGGUAGAGCGUCAUCCGAAUACCCUCGGGGGUAGAGCACUGGAUGGGUAAUGGGGCCCCACAGGCUUACUGAUCCUAACCAAACUCCGAAUACCGAGGAGUACUAGAUGGCAGACAGACGGCGGAUGCUAACGUCCGUCGUCGAGAGGGAAACAACCCUGACCUCCGGCUAAGGCCCCCAAUUCAUGGCUAAGUGGGAAAGCAGGUGGGACGACCAAAACAACCAGGAGGUUGGCUUAGAAGCAGCCAUCCUUUAAAGAUAGCGUAACAGCUCACUGGUCUAAAUAAGUUGUCCUGCGGCGAAGAUGUAACGGGGCUCAAGCCAUGAGCCGAAGCCGAGGAUGCCGUAAGGCAUGGUAGCAGAGCGUAGUGUGACAUGGUUUCUAUCCUCUUUAGUGUCCUUCGGGACACCAUGGAGGAGAAGAAAUCUUCGAUGAAGCGGGCCUGUGAGGGAUCCCGUGGAGAGAUCACUAGUGAGAAUGAUGACAUGAGUAGCGAUAAAGGGUGUGAGAGACACCCUCGCCGAAAGUCCAAGGGUUCCUGCUUAAAGCUAAUCUGAGCAGGGUAAGCCGACCCCUAAGGCGAGGCCGAAAGGCGUAGUCGAUGGGAACCAGGUUAAUAUUCCUGGGCCAGAUGGAAGUGACGGAUCUCAAAGGUUGUUCGUUCUUAUCGGAUUGAACGGGCCGCUCAGAGGUUCCUGGAAAUAGCUCCAUCGCUAGAUCGUACCCGAAACCGACACAGGUGGACUGGUAGAGAAUACCAAGGCGCUUGAGAGAACUAUGUUGAAGGAACUCGGCAAAAUACCUCCGUAAGUUCGCGAGAAGGAGGCCCGGUUUCUAGGCAACUAGAGGCUGGGGGCACAAACCAGGGGGUGGCGACUGUUUACUAAAAACACAGGGCUCUGCGAAGUCGCAAGACGACGUAUAGGGUCUGACGCCUGCCCGGUGCCUGAAGGUUAAAAGGAGGGGUGAGAGCUCUGAAUUGAAGCCCAGGUAAACGGCGGCCGUAACUAUAACGGUCCUAAGGUAGCGAAAUUCCUUGUCGGGUAAGUUCCGACCUGCACGAAUGGCGUAACGACUUCCCCGCUGUCUCCAACAUAGACUCAGCGAAAUUGAAUUGCCUGUCAAGAUGCAGGCUUCCCGCGGUUAGACGGAAAGACCCCGUGCACCUUUACUAUAGCUUCGCACUGGCAUCAGGAUUGUGAUGUGCAGGAUAGGUGGUAGGCUUUGAAGCAGGGACGCUAGUCCCUGUGGAGCCUCCCUUGAGAUACCACCCUUCGCACUCUUGAUGUCUAACCGCGGCCCGUUAUCCGGGUCCGGGACCCUGCGUGGUGGGUAGUUUGACUGGGGCGGUCGCCUCCUAAAGCGUAACGGAGGCGCGCGAAGGUUGGCUCAGAGCGGUCGGAAAUCGCUCGUUGAGUGCAAUGGCAGAAGCCAGCCUGACUGCGAGACUGACAAGUCGAGCAGAGUCGAAAGACGGCCAUAGUGAUCCGGUGGUCCCAAGUGGGAGGGCCAUCGCUCAACGGAUAAAAGGUACGCCGGGGAUAACAGGCUGAUACUGCCCAAGAGUCCAUAUCGACGGCAGUGUUUGGCACCUCGAUGUCGGCUCAUCUCAUCCUGGGGCUGGAGCAGGUCCCAAGGGUACGGCUGUUCGCCGUUUAAAGAGGUACGUGAGCUGGGUUUAGAACGUCGUGAGACAGUUCGGUCCCUAUCUGCCGUGGGUGUAGGAUACUUGAGAGGAGUUGCCCCUAGUACGAGAGGACCGGGGUGAACGAACCACUGGUGGACCUGUUGUGGCGCCAGCCGCAGUGCAGGGUAGCUAUGUUCGGACAGGAUAACCGCUGAAGGCAUCUAAGCGGGAAGCCCCCCUCAAAACAAGGUAUCCCUGAGGGCCGUGGUAGACCACCACGUCGAUAGGCCGGAGAUGUAAGCGCAGCAAUGCGUUCAGUUGACCGGUACUAAUGGCCCGAUAGGCUUGAUUUGAUCCAG